rnacentral:rRNA from 1 species
CGGGUUGAGGGAAAAGGAGCAAUACGCUUUGAGAUGGCCUCGCGUCCGAUUAGCUAGUUGGUGAGGUAACGGCCCACCAAGGCGACGAUCGGUAGCCGGACUGAGAGGUUGAACGGCCACAUUGGGACUGAGACACGGCCCAGACUCCUACGGGAGGCAGCAGUGGGGAAUAUUGCACAAUGGGGGAAACCCUGAUGCAGCGACGCCGCGUGGAGGAAGAAGGUCUUCGGAUUGUAAACUCCUGUUGUUGAGGAAGAUAAUGACGGUACUCAACAAGGAAGUGACGGCUAACUACGUGCCAGCAGCCGCGGUAAAACGUAGGUCACAAGCGUUGUCCGGAAUUACUGGGUGUAAAGGGAGCGCAGGCGGGAAGACAAGUUGGAAGUGAAAUCCAUGGGCUCAACCCAUGAACUGCUUUCAAAACUGUUUUUCUUGAGUAGUGCAGAGGUAGGCGGAAUUCCCGGUGUAGCGGUGGAAUGCGUAGAUAUCGGGAGGAACACCAGUGGCGAAGGCGGCCUACUGGGCACCAACUGACGCUGAGGCUCGAAAGUGUGGGUAGCAAACAGGAUUAGAUACCCUGGUAGUCCACACCGUAAACGAUGAUUACUAGGUGUUGGAGGAUUGACCCCUUCAGUG